CCAAUAGCGUAUAUUAAAGUUGUUGCAGUUAAAAAGCUCGUAGUUGAAUUUCGGGACUAAUAUGUCGGUCGUGCCUCGGUACGUACUGGUAUUUUUGGUUUCUCCCUUCUGACGAACCUUGAUGUCAUUAAUUUGGUGUCUUGGGAAAUCAGGACUGUUACUUUGAAAAAAUUAGAGUGUUUAAAGCAGGUUACCGCUUGAAUACAUUAGCAUGGAAUAAUGAAAUAGGACGUUUGAUUCUAUUUUGUUGGUUUCUAGAAUCGACGUAAUGAUUAAUAGGGAUAGUUGGGGGAAUUAGUAUUCAAUUGUCAGAGGUGAAAUUCUUGGAUUUAUUGAAGACUAACUACUGCGAAAGCAUUUGCCAAGGAUGUUUUCAUUAAUCAAGAACGAAAGUUAGGGGAUCGAAGACGAUCAGAUACCGUCGUAGUCUUAACCAUAAACUAUGCCGACUAGGGAUCGGAUGAUGUUAAUUUUUUAAUGACUCAUUCGGCGCCUUACG
rnacentral:misc_RNA from 1 species